CAUAUUUCUCAUAGGAAGCUUGGAUUCUACGAACUCUACGAACCACGUCUCAAAUGACUUUUCAUGAAGAUCCUUGGAUGUGAAUUUUCCACCAAAUAGAAAUGAAUGGAGCUUCUCCCGUCUUAGCAUUACAUAAGGCGGAAAAUGGGUGGAAAAGGUAAAACUGAAAUGCAUGCAUUGCGAAUAAACAACUGUAAAACCAUUUUAUUAGUGGCGAAUGUGCAACGUUUUGUGGUCAAGAGCAAGCCACUACACUAGUUCUAUUUAAAUUAUAGUUUUCUGACAAAUGUGACCUAGCUAUGCUCAUUUUGUAACAUGCGAAUCGGUUGAAGAAACCACAAGCGACUAUAAGACUACAAAUUCGUAGCUAGUAUCUCUAUUGUAAUAGAAUGAGGAGAGUAAAAGCACAUUCGUUUGCGUACUCCGACACGGAUUAUUUCAAUUCAAUUUAAUUUAUAAUAAACGCAGUCCAAUAACCUUAUAUAAUGAACAAUAAGGCGAUUAACAUGAACACAUGAAAAUGUACGAGUAUUGUUUGCAACAAAAUUAAAAUAAAAAAAAAAAAAAAUAAUGUAUUUGCUUAUUAUUUAUUUUGCAAAAUUAUUCAAAUGUAAGUUGUAUACAUAGGUACUCGGAUCUGCUUUGACAAACAUAUUGAAACAAUUAUAAUGUCAUAUAUAAGGGGUUCAAAUACUUUGGCUGUGUGCCGUUUGGCCGCGUAUGCUAUGAAUAUAUUUUUAGGCGUAUUUAAAAAUAAAUACAGUUGCAAUCAUUCCGUUUCGGAAGAACACGUUUCAACUCACGUGCUGUGGGGCAAUAAUCUAGCGGAUUUCAUAGCAAUGUGGGACUAAGAGAAAACAUUGCCAAAUUCUAUAAUUGUACACACUCAUCUAGCUAAUUAAAUUAGCAAUGAUUUCUUUUAAGAUACAAUACAUUUGAAACGGAAUAUUUAAUAAAAAUCGACUUUAGUUCAAACAAAAACUUGUAAAAAUAUUAAUGGCAAUGUACGUUUGUUCAAGGUUUUAAUUAAUUCAUUAUUAACUAUAAAUCAGUUAAGCAAUCAAAAGUGUGAUUCCUGAAGCUGAUGUCUCUCUUAAUGCGUUACACAUUUCAUGACAAAAUAAUAAUACUCUCUAGGGUAUAACAUAUAUAGAUCAUAGAUCCGACUAUGAAUUUGGAUGUGCCUCGUUCUCUAGUCUAGACAUACACCGCAGAAAAUACACUCAAAAUUCACAACC